CAACAACUGAGCCAACUGUUUCUUCUAAGUGGAUUCAACUUCCAACCCGAUCGGCCUCCUUCCCAAGAAGUCCCAAGUGGCGGGGGAGGCGCGACACUACAGAGGCAGCCCCCACCCCACCACUGUCACCGCAGGGACUGGCCACAGGCCUGCAUGUUGUUGUGUGUCACCGGUGGACAGCGGCCCGUGGAAAGGCAGUGGGGGCCACAAGAGAGUUCACUCCCCUGAUGUGCUGACCGUCUGCUGCGUCAGGACACUGCCCAAGGUGUCAGUGGCCAUGAUGUGGCUGAAGGCUUGACAAGUGUUUGUGCAACAGGGCUUAUCCUGCUGUGCCUCCACCAUCACCAGGAGAAGAACUUGCCCAGGCUAGCCCAUUGGCCCAGGAGGAUGAGAGGCAUGUGGAGCAGAGCUGGACCACCUGGCAGAGCCCAGCCUAGACAGUCUGAUCCCUGGCAGAUCCCCAGACACAACCGAGAUGCAUGAGCCCAGCCAACAUCAGCUGAUCUCCAGCCAAUGCAAA
rnacentral:lncRNA from 1 species